GAGUUUGAUCCUGGCUCAGGAUGAACGCUGGCGGCGUGCUUAACACAUGCAAGUCGAACGAAGCACCUGAGAAUGAUUCUUCGGAUGAAGUCUCUUGUGACUGAGUGGCGGACGGGUGAGUAACGCGUGGGUAACCUGCCUCACACAGGGGGAUAACAGUUGGAAACGACCGCUAAUACCGCAUAACCCGCUGGUGCCGCAUGGCACUGACGGAAAAGAUUUUAUCGGUGUGAGAUGGACCCGCGUCUGAUUAGCCAGUUGGCAGGGUAACGGCCUACCAAAGCGACGAUCAGUAGCCGGCCUGAGAGGGUGAACGGCCACAUUGGGACUGAGACACGGCCCAGACUCCUGCGGGAGGCAGCAGUGGGGAAUAUUGCACAAUGGGGGAAACCCUGAUGCAGCGACGCCGCGUGAGUGAAGAAGU
rnacentral:rRNA from 1 species